UGUCAAUCAAGAAGAAGAUUCCAAAUGGAAUGUUCCCAGGAGUUGGCAGUUGAGCUGACCAGGGGGAGGGGACUUGACUUGGAGUCACUCCCUGGAAGUUGAACCUGGCUGAAAGACCCUGGUGGGGCUGACUUGGUUUUGAGGUUCUCUGGCUUUGGACAGUUGAAGUUGACAGGAAGAAGAAACUUGGCUUUUGAGUUGGUGGUCUAUUUAAGAGUUGAGCUGGCCAGGAGAAACUGAGAGACUUUGAACUUUGUUUUCUUUCUUGGGGAAUUGUCUCAGACUGAAGGACCCUGGGGCGGGGGGCUUCAGAAAUUAAGCUGAGACACCUUGCUGAUUUUGUGAAGAGGAAGAAAGAAGAUUUUUGAACAGCUGUUGUCCUCUAUUUCCCUAAAUGUCUUAGAGUCACAGCUUGUGACUGGACUUUUUCUCAAACCCUCAUUUUAGUUUAGGGAAAUCCUCAUCUCUCUUACCUUAGUUUCCCAUCCUGUUAUCACAAUAAACCCCUUACCUGAGAAAGAAAAUUAGAGUAUUAUAUAGUCCACUCAGAGGGGAGGGAGGAAACCAAAGGCUUCCAGAAGAGGGUGGUUAAGGGAGAGGGUGAGGGAGGAAGGAGGUUAGGAAAUAGAUUGAUCCAUCAGCCAUCAGUAAGGAUCAGUAGGCAAACCCCAGAGCAGUUCCGUUGUGUAGCAGUUCCCCUGUGUGGAAGCAUCCCUGUGUACCAGCAUCCCUCAGCAUUUCUCAUUCCUACCUCCAUUUCAAGGCAUUGAGAAGUAAUCCUGAGAUCUGCAUUUCCAGUCUUGGAGAUAACUCGGAAAGUUCAAGAGGUCUCAUUUGAAGCUAAGUGGCAGCUGGAAGGAUGUCUGGAAACUAUUUUAGUACUUAGAAAAUUACCUUUGGUAGAAAAUUACCUGGUCUGACUUACUGGAAGAUAUGAGUCUAAAGAGAAUUGGUUGAAAAGCACAAAAAUGAGGUGAAGGAUAAAAUGCCUAUUUAACAGUACUACAACCAGCUUUAUGGAUGUUUAUUUUCAGUAGAAUAUAUUCUUCCC
rnacentral:lncRNA from 1 species